CUGUUUUCAAGGCAUCUGAGAAAAUUGCUCGCAAUUCGUAGUCGCUUCCAUUGAUUUGUUGUGGCAGCCGAUUGAGCACUCUGCAAAGCCCAAAAUUGUACAAUCCACACACUGCAGCACCAUGGGCUCCCGGUCACGCACUCCCAGUCCGUCGGGCAAGCGCCGCCACCACAAGAGCAAGCACAAAAAACGCAGUAAGUCCCACCACGACCACGAGCGUCCCAGUACGCGGACGGAUAGAGACAAAUCAUCGGAGGUGAACAGCCACGGGCGGCACCGCGAGCGGGACCGGGAUCGCGACCGGGACAGACAUCGCGGCGACCGCCACACGGAGCGCGACUACCGCCACUCGCCCUCGAUCCUCAAGUCCCGGAAGCGCUCCUCGUCGUCGAGCAGCGACAGUCAGUACUCCGACAAGGAGUCGCAGCGCAGCAAACAGAAACGCAGCCGCUUCAAGAAGCUGGACGAGCAAAACCAGCUGCAGGUCGAACGCCUGGCCGAGAUGGAGCGGCAGCGGCGGGCCAAGGAGGCCGAGCAGAAAACCAUCGAGGAGGAGGCCGCCAAGCGCAUCGAGAUGCUGGUGAAGAAGCGCGUGGAGGAGGAGCUGGAGAAGCGGCGGGACGAGAUCGAGCAGGAGGUCAACCGACGCGUGGAGACCGCCAAGGCCGAGAUGGAGCGCGAGAUGAUGCUGGAGCUGGAGCGACGGCGCGAGCAGAUACGCGAAGAAGAACGCCGGCGCGAGGUAGGUGCUCGUAUUCAGAUUCCGCUGGACGACUGCUGCUAUCACUGUCAGAAAAACGUACACAAUGCCACAUCUACCGUAAACUCGAACAAACCCAAAACAGCAGUUCAAACAGUCGUCUUCACUACGUUAGGCGAAAUCGAUCCGGCGGCGCUCUCAGCCACGGCCCACUGGGUGUUCAUUCGUCAUCCGUCACCCAUCAUCCCAUGUCCCAUCGGCAUUCCCCUAACAAUAGAUUGCUUGCAUAACCCCGGGCACUGGGCGCCCCCUAACCGGCUAUAUCACUAACCAGACACGCCUUUUUCAGAGCCCCCAUAUGCAGCCUGCCACGCAGUGAGUUGGGAUGUGAGCGCCACGGCUGAUUUCGCCUCUUUCUUCUUGCCAAUAAUUUUUGUAAUUUUUAUUUUUCCUACCAAAAAAGCCAUAAUGACGACACUGCCAAGUGUCGCAUGUGUCACAGUCACAGUUACAGUUUUGAAGCCCAUUAUUGCAGACCUCUUUGCAUACUCUUAGCUUCAUCUUCUGUUCGUUCCUACCCCCACAUACUGUAUCAUUUUAAUUUUGGUAUUGGUUCUUGUAACUCGUUGUUGUUGUUAUUGCGCGCAAACUCCGCUUCAGUAGGCCCGUGCAACGAACGUGCUGCUCUUGUCCCGUCUGCAAGUGGGUGUUUUGUGACCCGAACCCGCAAAACACUCGCGUGCACUCCACGUUGAGCCGCGAUGCCGGAAAUUCCAUGGACGCACUUCCUCCACACUCCCAAAAUACCAAAAAUCCACAAAAAAAAAAUAAAUCAAAUCGAAGUGGUGUCCCCAAGUUAGUUCGGGUAGUUAGGCUGUCUAGUUGUGGGGCGGGCCGACUGAUUUAAGUCCCAACUGUACCUGUACGCUGCAUGCAAACCAAAUCAAUGCCAAUAAACGACGGGUGAGUUUCCUACGCCAGCGAUGUGAUAAGCCAGCAGCCGUAAGGAUAACAGGCGCGACAACCACAUUAACUUGCCUUGCGAUCGGCGAAUGGACGCCAAUGAGACCCAAAGACAUACCCCAAAUGUUUAGCCCUAUAGAUCUCUGUCUGUAAGAUUUUUAAAACCGGAUUCACAUUGGAUUCUUGACCGUACCGAUUGCCAAGUAUUUGUGUUUGAGUUUUUUGUUUUUUCGAGCAAUUAAUGUACGUCUGGAAUAGCGACAAACUCCACAAAUCAUAUACCCAAAUCGAAAAUCUGCAAAAAAAAAUCUAUAAAUUAACACAAAUUUAGCCUUUGUACUGGAAUAAUGACCUAUUUAAAUAGUAAGUAGCAACAAUAAAAAAAAAAAAUUCAAAUGAAGACCAACCAUUUAGCAAAUACUAGUACAUUUGUUUAUGUUGUGUGCUCCUUUAUUGUAAUAAACUAAAAGAACAACCUACUUUAAACAUACUUAUUAGACACUACUAAAUGUUUUACUUUCUACCAAAAUUUUCUUUGUAACUUAUUGUUAAACAUAAAACUAGAUUCUAACUGCCUUUGCAGCUCAUCAAGCAAAAAAACUGCAACCACAAACGUGCGUCGAAUUCGUCGCACAGUUUGCAUCGCUGAUGUCAAGAGACUGUUUAUAUUUAUACCCUAGUUCUAAGCUUCCGGCUAACAGGUAGACUUACGUUAUUAAUCGUCCUUUUGUUUGGGUUUUAUAGGAGGAUGAAAAGCAAAAACGCGAAGAGCUCGAAGAAAUUUUGGCCGAAAACAAUCGCAAAAUCGAAGAGGCGCAAAGAAAACUGGCCGAAGAACGGUUAGCAAUAAUUGAGGAGCAGCGCCUUAUGGACGAGGAGCGGCAACGCAUGCG